CUUAUUAAGCAUCUUUUUUAAUAAACUUUUAAUUGUACAUAUUUUCCCCAGCUUUUUACAUGAUAGUUGGAUAUAAAUGCAGUCCAGUAUUUACAGGCAAUAUGCAACUUAAACUUUCUCCAUAGGGAAAACACAUGUGUAUUGCUGCUUCUUCAAGUAUCUGAAUCCCUGUUAACUUUUACACAUUUGGUUUUGCUACAGUAUGAUUUCAAAUUGCAUGUUCAUAAAAUCUGGCAAUGAAAGAGAAGUUGUUUUAGCAUUUUUCUAUAGCUCAUUAAGUACAAAGUCCCUGUAGUCCUAUUGCAUCGCGAAAAAAAAAAAUAAAUUAAAAAAAUUAAGGGGUUAAAACUUUCCAAAGUGGCUGAAUGUGAUCUCAACAUGGGUAGUCAUCUGCCCCAAUAUACAGCACUGUACAUGGUCCCAGAAUAAAAUAAAAUAUUUACACUGAACAGAAGUUAUUGUCCAGAUGAAACAAGCAACAGUAAAUCUUAAAAUAUAAAAUCAGUUCUAAAUGACACUUUACAUACAUGAUAGUUUAGUAUGCGUAAUAACUUGAUAAAGUAAUUGCAUUUCUUAAAAAAAAAAAAAAAAGCUUAACCUGAUGAGUGCGCUACUCUAACAUUUCACAGAUCAGUACAUUCAGAUUAAAUAUGGAGGCCACAGUGUUGCUGUGCUAAACUGCAACUUUCCAAAUAAUCAGUAACACAGUCAUGGCAUGCACCCACAGCUGGAAAACACGUCCUACUACUACACAAGACGGCACAGAAACACACUUUACUAUAUUUUAAGGACCAUUAGGUUUUCACAUUCAGGCUCUCUAAACACUGAGUUCCCUCGCCUUGUAGAAUCAGAUUAUGUUUAGGAUUUAAGACUGCUGUCAGAGGCAUUUACAUUUGGAGACAUGUAGACAGACACACUGAUCCAAUAUGUCAAAUAUAUUUAACGUAUAUAUUAGCAGCUGUGACAACAUUAUGCUAAAACACUAACUUGUAUAUGUGCCAGUAUAACUGAAGAACAGAUACUAAAGAUGAGUAAAUUAAUGGCUAAAAACCCAACCCUGACAAAGCUGUAUAUUCUUUUAUACCAAGUCACCUUUAAUCUCUGUGUUCUUAUCAUUUCAGGGUGGUAUUCAAGACAACACUGAAAAACAGCCAGCAGGGGGAGCUAUAGCAAUAUACAACAUGACUGAAUUAUGUAGCUCCGGGUCAGGAGGUUCAGGCAUCUACAUCAGAGGCUGGAAAUUAUUUGGAGCUGGUCCAAAACCAGUGUCUGGACCAAGGCUGUCAACAGAGGGCACUGGAAGGGAGACGUCUGACAUCCCAAAUUCUUUCUGGAGGCUGACAAUGAGCCCAAACAUCGAGCUGCAGUCACAAAGAACUACCGCCGGAGAGAAGAAGAAGAACAAGGACACGUGCAGCAGAUGGCACGGCCCCCACAGAGCUGUGAUCUCAACAUCAUGGAGUCAGUCUGGGAUUACAUGGAGAGACAGAGGACACUGCGAUGCCUAAUUCCACAGGGGAACUGUGACAAGUUCUCUAUGAUGCUGGAGCCACCUUCCUGACAAGAGCCCUAAAAAACUGCACAUCAGCAUAUUGUGACCUUGUGGUCAAACCAAACACUGACUUGAUUUAGGGCUGUUUCAGUUUACUAACUUUGGAUGUAGUUGACUCACAAAUAAAACCUAUUCGUCAUUACUUUGAAAGCAUAUACAUUUUUAGUGUCUU